GACGAACGCUGGCGGCGUGCUUAACACAUGCAAGUCGAACGAAGUGGCGAACGGGUGAGUAAUACGUGGGUAACCUGCCCUCCUUUUUGGGAUAAGCCUUGGAAACGGGGUCUAAUACCGAAUAAAGGGGGAUGGGCUCGCGGCCUAUCAGCUUGUUGGUGGGGUGAUGGCCUACCAAGGCGGUGACGGGUAGCCGGCCUGAUAGGGUUGCCCGCCAAAUUUGGAAUGAGGUACGGCCCAGACUCCGACGGGAGGGAGCAGUGGGGAAUCUUCCGCAAAAGGCGGAAGUCCGAAGGAGGAACGCCGCGGGAGUGAUGACGGCCUUCGGGUUGUAAAGCUCUGUUAAUCGGGGCGCGGUACCGGAAUAGAAAGCCACGGCUAACUACGUGCCAGCAGCCGCGGUAAUUC
rnacentral:rRNA from 1 species